rnacentral:rRNA from 1 species
CCUACGGGAGGCUGCAGUGAGGAAUAUUGGUCAAUGGCCGGGAGGCUGAACCAGCCAAGUCGCGUGAGGGAAGACGGCCCUACGGGUUGUAAACCUCUUUUGCCGGGGAGCAAGGGCCGGGACGCGUCCCGGCCCGGAGAGUACCCGGAGAAAAAGCAUCGGCUAACUCCGUGCCAGCAGCCGCGGUAAUACGGAGGAUGCGAGCGUUAUCCGGAUUUAUUGGGUUUAAAGGGUGCGUAGGCGGGCUUUUAAGUCAGCGGUAAAAAUUCGGGGCUCAACCCCGUCCGGCCGUUGAAACUGGGGGCCUUGAGUGGGCGAGAAGAAGGCGGAAUGCGUGGUGGAGCGGUGAAAUGCAUAGAUAUCACGCAGAACCCCGAUUGCGAAGGCAGCCUUCCGGCGCCCUACUGACGCUGAGGCACGAAAGUGCGGGGAUCGAACAGGAUUAGAUACCCCAGUAGUC